GGGGCCGUAGCUCAGCUGGGAGAGCGCCUGACUGGCAGUCAGGAGGUCAGGGUUCGAUCCCCCUCGGCUCCA
rnacentral:tRNA from 1 species